UACGUAGGGUGCGAGCGUUGUCCGGAAUUAUUGGGCGUAAAGCGCUUGUAGGCGGUCUGUCGCGUCUGCUGUGAAAAUCCGGGGCUCAACCCCGGACUUGCAGUGGGUACGGGCAGACUAGAGUGUGGUAGGGGAGACUGGAAUUCCUGGUGUAGCGGUGAAAUGCGCAGAUAUCAGGAGGAACACCGGUGGCGAAGGCGGGUCUCUGGGCCGAUACUGACGCUGAGGAGCGAAAGCGUGGGGAGCGAACAGG
rnacentral:rRNA from 1 species